UACGGAGGGGGCAAGCGUUGUCCGGAUUUACUGGGCGUAAAGAGCGCGCAGGCGGUCGUGCAAGUCGCGUGUGAAAGCCCCCGGCUCAACUGGGGAGGGUCACGCGAUACUGCUCGACUCGAAGGCAGGAGAGGGAAGUGGAAUUCCCGGUGUAGUGGUGAAAUGCGUAGAUAUCUGGAGGAACACCGGUGGCGAAGGCGGCAUCCUGGACCGGCAUUGACGCUGAGGCGCGAAAGCCAGGGGAGCAAACGGG
rnacentral:rRNA from 1 species